rnacentral:rRNA from 1 species
CCUACGGGGUGCUGCAGUGAGGAAUAUUGGUCAAUGGACGAGAGUCUGAACCAGCCAAGUAGCGUGAAGGAUGACUGCCCUAUGGGUUGUAAACUUCUUUUAUAUGGGAAUAAAAUGUUCCACGUGUGGGAUUUUGUAUGUACCAUAUGAAUAAGGAUCGGCUAACUCCGUGCCAGCAGCCGCGGUAAUACGGAGGAUCCGAGCGUUAUCCGGAUUUAUUGGGUUUAAAGGGAGCGUAGGUGGAUUGUUAAGUCAGUUGUGAAAGUUUGCGGCCCAACCGUAAAAUUGCAGUUGAAACUGGCAGUCUUGAGUACAGUAGAGGUGGGCGGAAUUCGUGGUGUAGCGGUGAAAUGCUUAGAUAUCACGAAGAACUCCGAUGGCGAAGGCAGUUCACUGGACUGCAACUGACACUGAGGCUCGAAAGUGUGGGUAUCAAACAGGAUUAGAUACCCUUGUAGUC